UACGUAGGCAGCGAGCGUUGUUCGGAAUUACUGGGCGUAAAGAGUGUGUAGGCGGUGCUCUAAGUUCGGUGUGAAAUCUCCCGCUUAACUGGGAGGGUGCGCCGGAAACUGGAGUGCUCGAGCGUGGGAGAGGAAAGCGGAAUUCCUGGUGUAGCGGUGAAAUGCGUAGAUAUCAGGAGGAACACCAAUUGCGAAGGCAGCUCGCUGGGACGUUUACUGACGCUGGAGACGCGAAAAGCGUGGGGAGCAAACAGG
rnacentral:rRNA from 1 species